UUUGCAGGUUCAUCAUAUCAUCAUUUGGUUACAUCAAGAUCUGGGGAACAUGGAGGAGUGUGCCCACCUUUUAUACCUGUGGGCGGGGAAUCAGGAAAAUAACCUGGAGCUGCUGUGACCACUCUAGGAUAUUACCCCCAUCCAUCCUCAACUUGGGAAAGUCAACGGGCGGAAGAGCGCAUGCGCGAAGUCCAUUUCAGCUCCGCCGUCGUCGAGGAAGGACCUGUUUGCCGUAGCUCCGCUGUAGAGGCCUCUGCCGGUCGGGUAGGCCUCGGCUUCGGCCUUGGGGGUCCAGGUGUGCUCCGGAAGUCGUCGUCCAGCGGCUGCAUCUCCGGAGCGAAGAUCCUGGCGGCGUUGGGGCUCCGGCGACGGCUGUUCAUCAUAUCAUCAUUUGGUUACAUCAAGAUCUGGGGAACAUGGAGGAGUGUGCCCACCUUUUAUACCUGUGGGCGGGGAAUCAGGUAAGGAGGAGUCUAUGGGAGGAGCUGACCAGGUGGGUGUCUGGGUUAACCCUUUCACUACUGAGCUAUAGCUGAUCCCUGGUAUAGUCAGAGCAUUUACACCUG